AAAGUCAGUUGACUAUAUAUUCAUGGGUUUAUUUCUUAACUCUCUCUCUCUCUCUCUCUCACUGAACUUGUGAUUUCCUGGUAAAGCCCAACACAGUGCCUGGCCUAAAAGUGGGUGAGGACUGGGUCUGAAAACACACCAUCGGGAUGGAACAAACCUACUUCUAAUGAGGUCAGGAAAGAAUAAGGAUUA
rnacentral:lncRNA from 1 species